rnacentral:lncRNA from 1 species
CUCUAUGCUGUCUUAUUCUUAUAAUUAUUAUCAUAGUAGUUUUACGAAUUCAAAUUUACAACUAAUCAGAACAUGCAUCAAUUUGAUGGAAUGUUAAGUUUUUCCCUGUUUUACCAAGUUUACACAAACACUUAAAACAAAGUAAUAGUCUCAAUUUUCUACCGAGUUACACAAACACAAAAACAAAAUAAUCUCAAUUUAUAUAAAGUUUGACAAACUUAAAUGGAAACCUUUCACUAAGUUUUACCUAGUUAAACAAACAUAAAUAACAAAAUUUUACUGAAAUAACAAGUUACACAAACUUGUUUUACACAUCCCCAACAACCUUUUUCCAUUACCACUUCCACUGUCCUUCUCAUUUGUGCCCUAGCCAACACUCU